rnacentral:rRNA from 1 species
UACGGGGGGUGCAAACGUUGCUCGGAAUUACUGGGCGUAAAGCGCGUGUAGGCGGUUCCGCAAGUCGGGUGUGAAAGCCCAGGGCUCAACCCUGGAAGUGCACUUGAUACUACGGAGCUUGAGUUCUGAAGAGGAGAGCGGAAUUCCCGGUGUAGAGGUGAAAUUCGUAGAUAUCGGGAGGAACACCAGUGGCGAAGGCGGCUCUCUGGGCAGAAACUGACGCUGAGACGCGAAAGCGUGGGGAGCAAACAGG